AUGUUGUGUGUUNAACGNUCCCGUCUAAUCUGAUGCGCAACCCCUAUCCUUAUGUUACCACGCACGUUAUGGUGGGGACUCAUGGGAUGACUGCCAGGACAACCUGGAGGAAGGCGGGGAUGACGUCAAGUCAUCAUGCCCCUUAUGUCCUGGGCUACACACGUACUACAAUGGUCGGCAACAGAGGGAAGCGAAGCCGCGAGGCAGAGCAAACCCCAGAAACCCGAUCUCAGUUCGGAUCGCAGGCUGCAACCCGCCUGCGUGAAGUCGGAAUCGCUAGUAAUCGCAGGUCAGCAUACUGCGGUGAAUACGUUCCCGGGUCUUGUACACA
rnacentral:rRNA from 1 species